CCUACGGGAGGCAGCAGUGAGGAAUAUUGGUCAAUGGACGAGAGUCUGAACCAGCCAAGUAGCGUGAAGGAUGACUGCCCUCUGGGUUGUAAACUUCUUUUAUAUGGGAAUAAAAUGUUCCACGUGUGGGAUUUUGUAUGUACCAUAUGAAUAAGGAUCGGCUAACUCCGUGCCAUCAGCCGCGGUAAUACGGAGGAUUCGAGCGUUAUCCGGAUUUAUUGGGUUUAAAGGGAGCGUAGGUGGAUUGUUAAGUCAGUUGUGAAAGUUUGCGGCUCAACCGUAAAAUUGCAGUUGAAACUGGCAGUCUUGAGUACAGUAGAGGUGGGCGGAAUUCGUGGUGUAGCGGUGAAAUGCUUAGAUAUCACGAAGAACUCCGAUUGCGAAGGCAGCUCACUGGACUGCAACUGACACUGAGGCUCGAAAGUGUGGGUAUCAAACAGGAUUAGAUACCCGAGUAGUC
rnacentral:rRNA from 1 species